rnacentral:rRNA from 1 species
GGACGAACGCUGGCGGCGUGCUUAACACAUGCAAGUCGAGCGGUAAGGGCCCUUUCGGGGGGUACACGAGCGGCGAACGGGUGAGUAACACGUGGGUGACCUGCCCUCAGCUCUGGGAUAAGCCUGGGAAACCGGGUCUAAUACUGGAUAUGACUCCAUGACGCAUGUUGUGGGGUGGAAAGCCUUGUGCGGCUGAGGAUGGGCCCGCGGCCUAUCAGCUUGUUGGUGGGGUGANGGCCUACCAAGGCGACGACGGGUAGCCGGCCUGAGAGGGCGACCGGCCACACUGGGACUGAGACA